UUAUAUUGCAAAUAAUAUACUGUUUUUUUUUAAAUUAUGUGUCUAUCUCUAUUAUCACUGUCUAUAUAUACAUUAGAUUUAACAUGCUCUAUUAAUUAAUUAUAAAUACAGUGCAUAUUUUAAUUCCAUAUCGCUUGCAAGAAGUAUAUGAAGUUGAAACAAUAAUUUUUGUAACUACAUCUCUAUUAAGUUAUAAUCUCUUCAUAGUAAUAAAUUUGGUUUAGUCUUAACAUUAUAACUAUAGAGAUGUUCUACUAUACAUAUAAUAAGAAUACACCUUGAACGAUGUAUCCUUUAGAUUGUAUCAUUUCAUCGAGGUUUUUUAAGCUGCCAUAUAUACAUAUAUGGCCUCUAUAUAUAGCUUAUAUAAUUAACUUUAUAUUUUAAUUAACCUUUUUAAACUUUUAUCGAUUAUUUCGAGCGAAAAGAAAAAAAGUGAAUUAACAACCACACGGACGCCUUCUGUUGAGCAAUGUUUGCAACUCUUCAUGCAAAAAUAAUGUUUUCGAGUUGUAUAUAUCAGUUCCAAGAGACACAUUUGUUGGACAUCUUUCGACUAGUCACUAAAGAUAGUAUUGUCUGGUUUCACCCAAAUUGAAAUGAUACGUGCAUAACUGCGUAUGUGCCCUACUAACAUUUUGUUUCGAUCCGUUUAUAAUUUGAACUUUCUGACUUAAUUUUGAAUGGAUAAUUUGAACUUUAGAAGAAAAAGAAGGACCAAAAUAUAUUUAUAUAAUAUGUGCACACACACACACACACACCAUAUGCACAUCUAAAAUUUAUAUCUCAUUCUCAUUUCAUUUUUGUUUUUGGAAAACUUAUACCCAUUAAUUAGAAAACAGUCGCUGCAAAGUGAAAUCUGGAUUAGAGAUGAUACGAGCGUGAUGUAUAAUAUUUGCCGAUAAUGGUAUGAGUUAAGUUAAUUGCUGGAUGAUCGAUCGAUGUUAGAACAAGCCGAUAAACACACACACACAGAGAUAUGCUUUGGGGAAAAGUUUUUUUCAAAAAGAAAAUAAAAGAAAAAGUCAAUGUAUGUACCGCAUUAAAAAAAUUA
rnacentral:lncRNA from 1 species